rnacentral:rRNA from 1 species
AAAGAUUAAGCCAUGCAUGUCUAAGCACAUGCCUUAAUACGGUGAAGCCGCGAAUAGCUCAUUACAACAGCCACCGUUUACUAGAAUAUAGUUAUCCUACUUGGAUAACUGUGGCAAUUCUAGAGCUAAUACAUGCAAAAAAGCUCUGCCCGCAAGGAACGAGCGCAUUUAUUAGAAUAAAAACCAAUCGGGUUUCGGCCCGUAAUUUGGUGAAUCUGAAUAACUUUGCCAAUCGCACAGUCCUAGUACUGGCGAUGUAUCUUUCAAGUGUCUGCCUUAUCAACUUUCGAUGGUAGGUUAUACGCCUACCAUGGUAGUAACGGGUAACGGAGAAUAAGGGUUCGACUCCGGAGAGGGAGCCUGAGAAACGGCUACCACAUCCAAGGAAGGCAGCAGGCGCGCAAAUUACCCACUUCCAGAACGGAGAGGUAGUGACGAAAAAUAACGAGACAGUCCUCUUCGAGGUCUGUCAUCGGAAUGGGUACAAUUUAAAUCCUUUAACGAGGAUCUAUUGGAGGGCAAGUCUGGUGCCAGCAGCCGCGGUAAUUCCAGCUCCAAUAGCGUAUAUUAAAGUUGUUGCGGUUAAAACGCUCGUAGUUGGAUCUGCGGCCUCGGAGAACAGUCCCCCGAAAGGGUGGUCACUGUCUCUCCUAGCCUAAAUUCGAGUCGUCUCUAGGUGCUCUUUACCGGGUGCUUAGAGUGACUAGAACGUUUACUUUGAAAAAAUUAGAGUGCUUAAAGCAGGCGAAAUAGCCUGAAUAAGGUGCAUGGAAUAAUGGAAUAGGACCUCGGUUCUAUUUUGUUGGUUUUCGGAACCCGAGGUAAUGAUUAAGAGGAACAGACGGGGGCAUUCGUAUUCCGGCGCUAGAGGUGAAAUUCUUGGACCGCCGGAAGACGGACGACUGCGAAAGCAUUUGCCAAGAAUG